UUAGGUGGAAGGCUGAGAAAGGCAAUUCCGGUUGUCUGGAGCCAUCAGUGAGAUACCACUCUGGGAGAGCUAGGAGUCUAAUGGCGUUCCUUGAAUCAGGACGCUUGACAGUUUCAGGUGGGCAGUUUUACUGGGGCGGUAGCCUCCUAAAAGGUAACGGAGGCGUGCAAAGGUUCCCUCAGGCUGGACGGAAAUCAGCCAUAGAGUGUAAAGGCAGAAGGGAGCUUGACUGCAAGACCUACAAGUCGAGCAGGGACGAAAGUCGGCCUUAGUGAUCCGACGGUGCCGUGUGGAGGGGCCGUCGCUCAACGGAUAAAAGUUACUCUAGGGAUAACA
rnacentral:rRNA from 1 species